rnacentral:rRNA from 1 species
GAUGAACGCUGGCGGCGUGCCUAAUACAUGCAAGUAGAACGCUGAAGGAGGAGCUUGCUCUUCUGGAUGAGUUGCGAACGGGUGAGUAACGCGUAGGUAACCUGCCUGGUAGCGGGGGAUAACUAUUGGAAACGAUAGCUAAUACCGCAUGACAACAGUUAUUGCAUGAUAACUGUUUAAAAGGGGCAACUGCUCCACUACCAGAUGGACCUGCGUUGUAUUAGCUAGUUGGUGAGGUAACGGCUCACCAAGGCGACGAUACAUAACCGACCUGAGAGGGGGUUCGGCCACCCUGGGAGUGUGACACGGCCCAGAGGGCUACGGGAGGCAGCAGUAGGGAAUCUUCGGCAAUGGGCGGAAGUCUGACCGAACAACGCCGCGGGAGGGAAGAAGGUUUCCGGGUCGUAAAGCUCUGUUGUAAGAGAAGAACGAGUGUGAGAGUGGAAAGUUCACACUGUGACGGUAUCUUACCAGAAAGGGACGGCUAACUACGUG